GCAAUUUAUCGUUACACUACAAUAGAAUUAGAUUAUAAAAAUACAUUUUUGAGAUACUUUUGUGUAAAUGUCUCAUUUAUGUCAAAUUUUUUUUUAAAAAUAUAUUAAGACUUAAAUAUAAAGUCCAAUCUAAUAAAAAAUAAAAAGUUCUUCUACUCAACCAACCCCACCUAGUCUACUUGGCCCGAUUACAAAUAGAAAAGAAAAAAAAAAAGAAAAAUUGAUUACCAUCUUCCCUUCUCCUCCUUUGUCGUUGCAGCCGACGAGAUAGGAUUCCAGCGGCUGGAGUUUGGCCACGAGGAUCUCGCAGGGACUGUAGAGGGUUACAAUCGCCACGUGUCUCUCCGCCACAGAUCGCUGGAGAAAUAGAUGCCAAACAUCAAAGCGGCCCCACAUAUAGCGACCUUAUAUAUAGUAACACUUUUAAAAGUGUUAGUAAUUUAGCCAGCAGUAUUUUUUUUUGACAUAUACCGAUAUUUAAAAUUGUCGCUAUACACUGUUUUUAUUGUAGUUCACCACUAUAUAUUGUGACAAUAUUUUCACUAAAAACCAACUCAGCCCACUAGUAGAUAAGCAAUUUGUUAGGCCAUAGUAAAGUAUAAAUCUCAUACUAUUCAACAUGGAACUAUUAUAGUUGUUAUAAUUUUAAGCUGUUAAAUGGGAAAAAAAAGGACAUGACCUUAGGAGAAAAGAAAAAAGAAAGAAAAAAUAAGGAAAGGAAAGGUACGUGUUGGUACAAAACUAAAAGGAUGAUGAGGGCAAAAUAUAUAUGUUGUUAACCUUUAGACAAACAUUGGAAAAAAAACCUAACAAGGUAGGUUUGGGUUAUGUUCAAUUAUUGAUUAGUUGAUAGAAAACGGAACACGCAUGACUUCGGUUAAACAGCAUGGAAUUUUUUAACACCAAAUCCACCAUAUAAAGUUUCAAGUAAAGGAUGCUUUAGGAAAGUGAAUAUUUGCAGUAAAAAUGUAGAAAAAUUAUCUGAAUUAUAGAUCAUUUUGAAUCGACUACUCAACUUUUGAAAAUUUUGAUUUUACAAUCAAACAUUUCAAUUUAUUUGAUUUGAAUCAGUCAAUAGCACUUUGACUUUAUAAUUUAAUUAUGUCAUUUAUCUUCUCAGGUUUAGUUAGUAUAUUUCAUGCAAUUCGCGCAACGGUAAAUUCAAUGAAAUAAAAAAGCUUAAAUUUUGAAGUCAAAGUAUCAUUGACUUACUUGAAUCAAUCAAAUUGAAAGGUUGGCAGGUUGAACCAAAUGUUUGAGAGCUGGGAUAAUAGAUAUAAAAUAGUCCAUAGUUUAAAUAAGUUUUAUACAUUUUUUUUCUGAAUAUUAUAAUGAGCUAACGCUACCUGCAUAUCCAAAUAUAUUACGUACAUGUAAAUCUUAUACCUUCUCCAUCCAAAAAUCCAUGUUUUCAUUCUAAUCUUAUCACACUGUAUUUUUUAAUAUUAAAAAUCCAAAAGAAUUAUCGAAUUCUUUGGAUGGGUCCGGUGUAAAAUUUUUUAGAACAAAUACCGCACAAAAAUCUGAUUGCGAUUAAAGAUCUAACUAAUUUUAUGAUAAAGAUAAAAUUAAACUUGCAGAUGAUCGCUUAAUUUCAAAAUAAAUUAUAGAAGAAGAAGGCUUAGUUUGAUAUUGAGAUCUAUCUAACGCUAUUAGAUAAAAUGGAGUUGAGGAAAAAGCAUAUAGGGAUAUGCUUCUGCGUUCUCCGGUGGGACCACAGAAAAUAUAUCGUAACCGACUCAUUGCGAUAUGCGGAACGCAAUAUUACGUACGGAAACAAACAGGGUAUUUUUUUGUCGUCAUUUCUCACCGCAUGUAACGCAAUCUCCCCGCAAUCCCAAACGAAGCCGAAAUCCAAGAUUAAUUUGCUCUAAAAGCAUGCGAGGCACUUCCCUAAGGUGUAUUCUCGUCCUUCGUGCGGGAUUAAUCGAAAACACCGCCCCAAGGUACGACCGGAAUUCCUCCUCCUACGAGCACGAACGUGGAAGAGAUUAACGGAAACUCUUUCAACACCCGAUGAUAAAAAGAUCAAACAAAAUAAAAAUAAAAUAAGAAUUUAAAUAAAGUUUCUCCUUUUAUUUUUUCACUUAACUCUCUCUCAGCAAUGUUCAUUAUAGAUGAACAGUGCUAUCCAUUGUAUAUAUAAUGGAGAGAGAAUGGAACGUUGGAAUCCCAACGUUCCCAACAUUCCACUUAAUUCAUGCCUUUAUGUGGCAUAAAGAAGAAAUAAAUUAAAUUUAAUCCAUCAAAUUAAUUAACAUAAUAAAAGACAAUAAAUGAGAAUAAUUAUAAAAUUAAAUGAUAUUUAGAGAUUUUGGAUUUUUCACCAACAAUCCCCCACAAAAUUCAAAAUCACAAAAUAAGAAUUAAACAAAUAAAUAAAUAAAUCAUCGGGUGUGUAUACUAUGCAAUAGGCGAGGUCUUUAAGAGACUUAACCUCACUUAAUGUAAAUAGUUUCCAUCAGAAGGAAUCGGAGUGAAUCAGGUCUUGAACUACGUUCCUUUGACCCUGACUUCAACUAUCACACACACAGUACAGAAUUCUCUGUCGCGGGUCUGUGCGUUAAUGGCCAUGCACAGUAUCUUGAUUUUUCAUAAGAGUUUCUACGGAUAGCCCAUUCAUAUAGCCACGGCCACAUACGGAUACUCUUAUAUAAAUGGUUUCCUCCAGGAAUGUGUGUAGAGUCACAUCUUGCGGAAAUUAUCACCUUGGAUCUCAUUAAGAGCUAUCAGCUCAAUCUAAUCCACUACACAGAGCACUACUCACCAUAGGGAUGGGAUUGGAGUUAAAACUCCUCUAUAAAAUUUGUAGAAAGUGCUAUUCGGCCAACUUGACAGCUUGUUUUUACCACAUUGAACAUUCUUCAAGGGAUCUCCUAUCACAAAGGUUGGGUUCCCACUGCAGGAAAGCUCUUUACGGGCAAGAUCCCAUCCCUCUCGAUGACAAUAGGACCAUAGUCCUCUUCAGGCCUUUCAUCAAAUAAUCUGCAAAAUUUAUGAUCAUAUCUGACAAAACUGAAAUAAAUAAUAUCAUACAAAGUUAAUCAUCUAAUAAAUUUCUGUCUCAACAUAAUAUAUUUGACAGUUAGUCUUAAAAUUUAUCAAUUUUAUUUACAAGCUAAUCAUUAGGAUAAACAAAAUGAAAUCAUAAGGGCAAUUAUAAUCUAAAAAGUUAUCAAACUGAUAAAAGAGCUCCUCCCACAAGUUCUGAGAUACACUAAAAUUUAAAAUCAUGAGAUUUAAUCAUAUUGAAUAGAGUUUGAUUCAACAGCAAAUAGAUGGCCAAAACAAUUUUAAAAUUUUAUCUCAAUUAGAUAUUUUCAUUACAAAAUAUAAUGCAAGCAAUAUGCAGCAAACAAAAUGAUUACAGUAAAGAGGUGAUGUUAGUUACUUAGUCAUGCUAGUUCAAAUAGUUUUGGUAUUAAAUGCAGCAAACAGAGUUUACAAAGUACUGCAACAAUAAAAAUGGAUAAACUAUAAUUGGUUUUACUGGCUAGGUGAUCUUGUUCAAAGACUGUGCUUUAACAAACUGUGGGUUUCAAAUCCCAUUAUAAAUCGAAUAUUGAAACAAUAAUAUUUAACAAUAAAGCUUAAAGAAAUCAAACCCUUUUUUUUUUUUUUUAAGAGGGUUUAGCAAAAGACAGUAUAUAUACAUACAUAUUAACCCUUUUCCUUUUCGGAAAAACCAGGAAAUAGUUUAUGUAUAUAUAUAGACACGCACAAAGAAAUCCGUACACUAAAAAAGGGUUUUACUGUAGCAAAAUUGUUUAAAAAAAUUAAUUUUGCUGUAGCAAAGCAUUUUUUUAAAGGGCUACAGUAAAAGAAAAUUAAUUUAAUACGGAUUAGCACCCGUUAGAUUUUAAUCACAAUCAAAUCGGAAUUAUGCUUAGAUUGUUAGAACAAAUACCGCACAAAAAUCUGAUUGUGAUUAAAGAUCUAAUUAAUUUUAUAAUAAAGAUAAAAUCAAACUUACAGACGAUCGCUUAAUUCCAAAAUAAAUUAUAGAAGAAGAAAUCCAAGAAUAAUUUGCUCCAGAAGGGUGUGAGGCAGUGCUCUAAGGCGUAUUCUCGUCCUUCGUGCGGGAUUAACCGGAAAUAGCGCCCUAAGGUAUGACCGGAAUUCCUCCUCCUACGAGCACAAACGUGAAAGAGGUUGACGGAGACUCUUUCAACACCCGAUGAUAAAAAGAUCAAACAAAAUAAAAAUAAAAUAAGAACUUAAAUAAAGUUACUCCUUUUAUUUUUUCACUUAACUCUCUCUGCGCAAUGUUCAUUAUAGUUGAACAGUGCAAUCCAUUGUAUAUAUAAUGGAGAGAGAAUGGAACGUUGGAAUCCCAACGUUCCCAACAUUCCACUUAAUUCAUGCCUUCUUUAUGUGGCAUAAAGAAGAAAUAAAUUAAAUUUAAUUCAUUAAAUUAAUUAACAUAAUAAGAGACAAUGAAUGAGAAUAAUUAUAAAAUUAAAUGAUAUUUAGAGAUUUUGAAUUUUUCACCAACGAAAUUCAUAUCCAACUUUUGAAUGUACAAGUAGUAUUUCUUUACUAUGAUUAAAAAACACAAGUGACAAAGGGCUUGAUGGUUGGUACUCGAGGUCUCAAGUUCGAAUCCUAGUUGAUUCACAUUUCUAACUAAGUUUAUUUCUAAAUGAAAUAAACGAAGCGGGUAGCAUGCUAUCUAGCUAUCUCUCAAAAAAAAAAAAACACAAAUCAUAUUCUCUAUCAGGUAGAGGUUUGUCAUGGUAGCUAGGAAGGAUUCAGGGCGCGUUUUCAAAAACUUGAACCCAAACCCAACUACCAAACCCGAAAUUUGAAUCCGAACUUGAAUCCGACGGAUUUUAAAAAUUUAUGUCCAAACACGAACCUGACCAAAAAUCAGAAACCCGAACACGAACUUGAACUCAAAAAUUACAAUAUUUCAAAACAUAAUUUUUAAAAAUACAAAUUCAAAUGUAAUAUCAAAUUGAGUUCCUAUGCCUUUAAAAGUACCAAAUCAUUGGUGCUUGUAGGUUUUCGGCCCUCUUGAAUUAAGGGAUGUGCAGUUAGUAUGAUAGUGGUUUCCUAGAAUUGAGUGGAUGAUUAGUUGAAUAGUAAACUACAAUAAAAUAUAUUUUAGACGACGCUGUUUUAGCAUUUUCAAUAUUUGGUAUGUGGCGACACCAUGAUUAAGCAUCACCAAUAAACAUAUUUUUAUCAAAUACUGAUAAAAUUUUUUUGACACUAUAUUAAAGCGUUGGUAUAUUUAUCCCGACAUCUUUACCCAACGACUCUUUACUCGACGCUUUUACAAAUGUCUGGGUUAUUCUUGCCAAAGCUUUAAAGCAUUGCUAGUUAUUAUUUUAAGUGUCCUUAAGUGCAAGAUUUAUUAUAGUGUUAUGAUCUAACGAAUGAAAAUGGUCAAAGAGGCAGAUCUAACGGCAAAACUCUUACAAGCACCAAGUGCUUGGUGGUUUUAAAAGCAUCAUAGCCAAACUCUCUCUCUCUCUCUCUCUUUAUAUAUAUAUAUAUAUAUAUAUAUAUAUAUAUAUAUAUAUAUAUAUAUAUGUAUAUGAAUUGAGCUCCUAUGCUUUUAAAAGUACUAAGUCAUUGGUGCUUGUAAGUUUUCGGCCCUUGGAUUAAAAGAUUGCGUUAGGGAGUAAUUGGACCCUAGGGUUGAGUGGCGUUGGUUUGGUUACAUAGUAAUACUCUAAUACGGUAAAAUGAUCAUAAGGCAGAAAUCUAACUGGUAGAACUAUUUACAAGCACCAAGUCAUUGGUACUUUUUACAAGCCACAAAUAGCCGACUCCUAUACAUAAUAGGGUUAGUAAUGUGUUCUUUCAUUCAUACUUUACUUAUAUAUAUAUAUAUAUAUAUAUAUAUAUAUAGGGUUAAUUGCAUACACAUCCUUGCAAACAUAGUGAAUUGCAGAUAUAUCCUUGCAAAAUUCAACUUUCAUAAGUUAUCCCUGAAAAAGUUCUAAUGUAUUCGGAUAUGUCCCUGUCGUUAGGUUCCGUUAGAAAAAUUUGGUUAACCACAGUUAAAAUACUUAAUCAUGGUUAAUUAAUAAGUGAAUUGACAAUUUUACCGCCUUCUUCUUCAUCUCCCUCUUUCUCUUCCCUUUUCUUCGUCGCCGGUUCUUUCGCCACCGCCGCCGCGUGAUGCUCCCGUGGCCGGUGGUGUGCCGUCGCCGCAGCCGCCUCCCGCCUCUCCCCCGCCGUCGGCGACCUCUCCAACCUUGCGGCGAACCCCCUCGCCUCCAAGCUUCUCUGGUCCCUUCGGGAAACCCUAGCGCUAGCCCCUCUUCGUCGAGCAGUGCCGCUCCCCCGACCUCCCUGCGAAGAAGCUCCACACACAGAGCUAUCUCGCCGCCAUCUCCGACGCCCUCAAGUAGCUCGCCGCCGACGCCGACCUCCUCAUCGUGGGAGAUCGGGCAGUGCACCCGCGGGCCAUCCCCGGCGGCGUCGCGGGCCGACAACGGCCUCCGCCGCCUUCUUUUUCUUCGUAUCCUCCUAUUUUCUUCCUUUUUUUCUUUGUCGUCGUCAUCGAUGAUCUGCCGCCGCCACUGUCCGCUCUCAUGGCCCAAAGAGGAAGAGAAAGAGGAGGACAUUUAUGCAAAUGUGCUUUUGGAGGGACAUAUUUGUGAGGGCAAAAAUGUCAUUUCACGAGCAUACUGUUUCUCUAACGGAUCCUAACCAGAGGGACAUAUCUGAAUAUAUUAGGAUUUUUUGUAGGGACAACUUAUGAAAGUUGAGCUUUGCAAGGAUAUAUCUGCAAUUCACCAUGUUUGCAGGGACAUGUAUGCAGUUAACCCAUAUAUAUAUUACCUCCAAAAGAAGAGACUAGAAAUCACGAUCGUGAUCUCUAAAUCAGCGAAGGGAGCGAGGCAUAGAGAACCCUUGAAGGCCACCAAGGCUUGGGGGCUAAACAUUGCAGGGGCUGGGCUGUAGAGCAUCACAAACCAGCAAAGAUGAGGCUUAGGUGCAUAGCAAGACUCCUAACUAGUCGUGGAACAAGGUAGGCUUGUAAGGAAGGAUUAAGGACACUAGGAAUACCGAUAUGAAUGUGAUCCUUGGUUCGAUCCUACUUUUCCUACUAAGUACUAAAGCGGCUCACAAUGAAGGGGUCGUGACGAGGCCGAAAGGUGUGACCAUGGAUAAAGCUGGACUGUCUUAGCAAACCGAAAUGUAAUAUAUUGAAAUUCAGUAUAGUGUACCGAAUUUUGGCCAAAUUGGCAAAGUUAGGAUUAAAGUCAUACAACACAUGAUUAGAGCAGAUAUGAAAAAGUUUAGACUGAACUUGUAGGAGUUGGAGCCAAUUUGGAUCGACUCGAGGCUUUGGAAGAAAUGGAAAUCAACUCUUCCAGAGCUUUCAGAAGCUCAAAAAUGCAUUUUAGGCGCCCAAAUACUUUUGGGCCGUUGGGUCAAGCGUUCGUUUCCUAGCAGAUCCUUUACUCAAGAACAAGAGUGCAUAGAUUGUUAAAUAUUCAGGUAUCCGUAACUUUUCGAACUAUCUUGCAGGUGCCCAGUUUUAUUUUCGGACACUCCACCUGAGAAAAAGAGUUGCUUGGUUUGCCUUGCUGGCAUCCGAAACUACUGAUAGACAGCUAAGCGGGCAUCCAAAUCAAUUUUCGAACUCUCAACCCGGAAGCCCUAGAGUGGAGUUGUUUGGGACUUUCAGGUGCUUGAAAGAUCGGGUAGGCACAUGAAACCUAGCGUCUCAACCCGUAAGCCCUAAAGCAGAGCUAUUUGGGACUUUUAGGCGCUCGAAAGCAGAGGUUGUUCUUAUUUUAAAUAUGAAUUUGAUAAGUAGGAAGGUUUAAGUACAAAUGUAGCACUCCUUUUAAUACCUUUUCACAACCAAACAUUUCCUCAUACCUUUAUUUUCCUAUUUCCUUCUUUUUCUACUUUUUCUCUUUGGAAAAAAAAAACAUUAGUUCUUAUUGUUGAUCCUUCAAGCUCCAUUUCCUAGCAAGUUUGGAGAAGUGCAAGGGCACUUGGAAGGAGCUCGAGGAGGCAGAAGGCAAGCUUCUCAAGUUUCAUUUCCCUUGUCGAAUCGUUGGCGCUAACCAUUAAUCCCAAAAGCUCGAGCUGUUAGAAAUACGCAACCAAUUUACUUAAAGCGUACAGAAACAGUGCCCACGGAUCUCGAUUGUGACUCGGCCCACCUGGCGUCACUCCACUUCGAACAUGACUCGGCCCAACCCAGCCUCACGCCAUUUCGAACAUGACUCAGCCCACAUGGCCUCCCGCCACAGGGCAGGAUGCUGACCCAUUUAAGCCAACAAUCCACCCUCCAGCACCUGCACACAUUUGCAGCAUGCGAGAAUCGAACACCUGACCUCUGGCUCUGAUACUACUUGUAAGUUAUAGAUCCCAAAGAUCUAAAAGGCAAAUAACACCUAGAGGGGGGUGAAUAAGUGUAAACGACAAAACAAAAAUUCUCAAUCCAAAAUAAAAUUAAGUGUGGAAAAUUAAAACCAACACAUCAAGAUUUUACGUGGGAAAACUCCAACUCGGAAUAAAAAACCCACUGGACCGAUCACACGAAACAAUCCACUAUUAAAAGUUGAGUAUAAGGUGAUUUACCAAAUACAUGACCCAACUUUUACCGAAUCCUCGUCGUAGAUCGUCUUCGCCGGUCCUCGAUCGAUCGAACUCCUCUAAUCGAUCACGCCGCAACUCCUUGCAGCAACAAUGUAUCGAAUACAUGAGCGUCCACCGAAUCCUCGGCCUCACGUGAAGCCCUCGCGCAAACACUCCAUCCGGAGCUCGUAGAAAAUAAUAAUUGGUGGUGAUUCAAUUUCUUAGAAAAACCAUAAGAUAUGAAGAGAACCCUUUCAAUCCAUUAUCAACUUGAUUCUUAAUGAAACAUUGGAAUAGAAACUUAGAAACGAGUCGACGAUCGAAAAACAAAACUUGUUUUUAAAACAUAGAUCGAAAAGCUCCAAGAACAAGUUUUUAGGGUUUCUAGAGGUUUUUAUUUCUAAGCAUAUGUAUUAGGACGCUCCUUAUAGCUUAUUUAUAGGUUUAGAAGACUUAGAGAUCGAUUAGAAUUUAAAAACCAAUUUUUAAAAACAAAAGACGGUCUUAGGGUCCGGACCUCCCGCAAGGUUCGAACCUUGACUCCAGGGUCCGGACCUUCCUUGCGUAUCAGAAAAUACAAUGUACGGGGUCCGGACCCUAACCCGAGGGUCCAGACCCUCUCUGCGUAUGCGCAAAGAGGACCUACGGGGUCCGGACCCUGAACCUAGGGUCCGGAUCCCAAACCUUGAAAAACUCAGUUUUCUCCAGUUUUUUACAUUUAAAAUCCAUCUAAGUCUUCCAAACACUUUUACAUGUGCAGAAUUUCACCACAAAUUAUUAACACACAUACCUGAGAUACCGAGCAUCACGAACGAGUCUUUUCAUCACAAAUCACACAAUCUUCGUCUUCAACUCUUCAAGACUCCAUUUGACUUCACGAAAUUCGCCAACUUAGAAAAGUCCUUAACAUCCCUAACUGAUAAGAGUUGAGGUGAGUUUGAAAUUUUAGGUUUGAAAUUUGGGGAUAUUUCCAAAUAAGAGUUUUGAAGUUCUAGCAUGAUUGGAACCUCUUUUUUAGAUUUUAUUAGGAGUUUUGAGAGCUGAAGGGAUAUUUUCAAAAAGAUUUUAACAAGCAAAGUUAGAAAAUAUCAUUGAAAUCGAUUUGAUCUCCGCUUUGUCUAAAGAACUUUCAUUCAUGUUAGCUUAAAUUUCAAGUUUUCUUAAGUGUGGGUUAAAUUUUUUGAUGGAUUUGCAUGAAGCAGAGGUUAGAAAUUCUGCAAUUAAGGUAGUUAUGGGAAUAAGAUUACUUCAUUUUCUCUUGUUACAUAAUGUUAUUGUCAUUGCAUUUUUCAUAAGUAUAUAUUUAGUUACUUGGACAUAGGACAUAUAUAGUUGACAUAAUGGGGACACUUGAUAUAGGAGAAAACCUAUAGUUAUUAACAUAGUUAUACAGAAAUAAACAUAUGACUGAACUCAUGAGAGAACCUUAGUAUCGAUUGUCACUUAGCUAGGGUGUAAUCUAAGAGGCAAGCUAUUGGCAUUAGUUGGCGGGGAUCGGUACCUUACAAGCCACAACCUUCCGGAAGAGUAAUCAUGGAAGAGGCUUGAUCACUCUCGACUCUCUUAUAUUUUAACUUAAGGAAGUCUAAUCAUUCUUGACCCUUGUGCUUAUCAAUAAGGAGGUGACGCGAUCUUUUUCUAGUCCCUACGAGGUGUUUAUAAAUGAAUUGGAACGGACUAUCAAUUCAGUUAGUAUUAAGAAAAUAACAUAAGUAGUUUCUUUUGGUUUGGGAUAUUUGAACAUUAGUAUAUAUAGUUGUAUCCUACAUUGUCAUUUUGCCUGAGGCAUAGUAGUUGUAUAGUGCAUUAUAUAUCCUUUCACUAUAGUAGUAGUACUUUAACUUUCCUCAUAUUUACUACCUAUGCCUUUUUUGAACUAACUUAGUAUAAAGCAUCACUUUUCAGUGGUUGUACAUACUGAAAACUUACUUCAAGUUCUCACCUCCUUAUCGUUGUUUCUUUUAUAUAGCCACCCAUCAUCGGUGAGGGGCGUGAUUGCAUCAAAGGUAUCGCAACCUAGUUAGAUCAUCCCCGAAUAAGCUAGAGAAGUAUUGUUUUGGAAGAACGAAGAAAACUUGUACUAAUUUUGGUAUAUGAAGGUGUAAACUUAAUUAUUAAGUUUGGAGCUGAAUGAAAAUUGUAAAAGUUUAAAUUAGUAGUUAAACUAACUCUAAUGUUUUCAUACCUAUUAUUGUAUGUGAUGUCAAGCUUGGUGUAUAUAUUCUACUGUUUCAGGCGGGUAUAAAAAACUCUAUCCAUUCGGUUGGUCCAUAGCACACUCUCGAGUAGGUCCCUUGGGAGGGUUCCCAUGGCAUGGUAUGAAGCUAGCAGCUCAGAGAUCGAGAGACAAACCUAACCUCCGAAAUGCCCAAGGACAGUAUGAAUCCCAACAAAUGCACCAUCGAGAUAAUGGAUCAUGGCACAAGUUUCCACUCAAUACUGGAAGCCGCAUCCUCUGCCUACAAGAACUCAAAAGCGAACGAUGCCGAGGCUCCGAGUGAUGGCUCAGUGAGUCGAAGAAUGAGAACCGAAAAAGCUUAGAAAGGAAAUGAUUAACAACUCGAAGCAGAUCAUGAGGGUUUGGUGAAAGAAUCGGGCCGGCGAAUUAAGCCGAUCACUACUAGAAAAUUAGUGGCAGUUAUUUAUGCUGCUAAAUGAUUAAUAAAUGCUGCUAAAAGGUUUAGCAGCAUAUGACACCAAAUGCUGCCUAUACCAAUGUUGCUAAAGUAUUAGCAGUAUUUAAUUUAUUAUAAAUGCCGCCAAUAUAAAUCAAUUAGUAUCAUUAGGAAUAUGCCGCUAAAAGGGAUUAAAUGCUAAUUUUAAAUUGUUUAUUAGUGGCAUAUAAAUAUAAUGGCGCUAAUACAAAUAUCUGACUUUAAAAAUUAAAAUUUUAAAAUUUUAAUUUUAUUUUUUUGACAUGCCACCCGCUUUAUUUAUUUUCUUUUGUCUUAAACUUUGCUGUAAAUGUGAAUAAACUAGAAUUCGAACUUUAGACCACGAGUACCAACAACCAAGCCCUUUGCCACUUGCGCUAGCGACUAUUAGUUAUGUAUAUUUUAAUUUUUUAUAUUUUAAGUCUUUUAUUUUAAAAUUUUUAAAUUUUUAAAUUUUAAAUUUUAAAAUUUUAAAUUUAGAUACUAAAUUUAAAUUUUUAAUUUUGAAAUAUGAAAUUUUAAGUUUCAAAAUUAAUAGUUUUAAAUUUAAAAUUUGAAAUUUAAAAUAAUUUUAAAAUUUUAAAAUUUUAAAAUUAAUAAUUUUAGAAUUAAAAUUUAAAAUAUAAAUUUUAGAAUUUUAAAUUUUAAAUUUAAGCUUAAUUUUUAAAAUUAUAUGUUUCGAAUUUUAAACUUUAAUUUUAAAAUUUUUAAUUCUAAAUAAAAAAUGGAUAUAUUAAUAAUUAUAUAUUAAUUAGUAAUGAUAUUUAGUAACAAGUGCUGCUAGUUUAUUAUAUUUAGCGGCAAUCACUAAUUUAUGCUGUUAAUUUAUCCUAUUUUGCAACAUUAAUAGUAAAUUGCUGCUAAAUAAUUAAAUCUAGCGACAAUUAUCAAGUAAUGCUGUUAAAUAUAUUAAUUAAUGUGAUUUAAAUAAAUAUUGCGGCAUUUAGUAAUAAGUGCUGUUAUUUUAUUACAUUUAGUGUCAUUUUUUAUAAAAUGCUAGAAACUUCGGCGGCAUUCACUAAUUUAUGCUGCUAAUGUAUUCUAUUUUGCAGCAUUAAUAGUAAAUUGCUGCUAAAUUAUUAAAUUUAGCGGCACUUAUCAAAUAAUGCUGUUAAAUAUAUUAAUUAGCGUUAUUUAAAUAAAUGUUGCGGAGUAAAUGCCGCUAAAUCACGAAUUUGUAGUAGUGCGAGUUGUCUGGGCCCAGCCUCAACCAGAGAGUUGAGGAAAUGGGGCAAGAUGUAGACCCCAAAGAAGGAACUUGCUCUAGAGGAAAAGGGUUGGAGCCUAAUCAGUUAGAAAGCUCCCUACAAGGAGGGAACAAAAAGGAGGAUGAGCCAGAGGUUGCGCAACUCGAAGUCAAUAGAAAUCACCCAAAAAGUGCCACUUUCAAGAAGCCAUCGCACGAGAUAAAAUGGUUGAAGGGCUUGGCUUACAUUAAAAGCUAACUCGCAGGUUGGAUGUCAAAUGUCGAAUCGACGGUCGCUCGCGGAAGACAAGCAACCAUCGAUCACUUGGGGAGAGGUGGAGGGAUGGAGGAGGAGGGGACCAAUUUUUGAGUUUGAAACAAAGUUGAGAACAAAUUUGAGAGAGAUAUAUAGCGCCAAAGAAAGGUUCUACAUAAGAUUUGAGCUUUGAUAAACAAUUAUACCGAAAGGUAUCUCUAGUGGACGCUUUGGCAAAAGGACUUCGGCAAAAAGGCUUUGGCCUUAGUAAAGCAUGCCAAAGGUCAAAGGCUUUAGUAAGGUUCGAGAAGGCAAGUUCCUAUUUAAAAUUUGAAUUUCAAACGAGGGACGCUAAAGAAUUCGGAAAUAUGCAAAGAAUUAGAGAACGAUUUUGGAAUUAAUACGACGCAACUAUCUUUUGAAAAUUGUUCUGAUUAGGGUUACACCAAAAUCAAAAUGAGAUUAUAAAAGAAGAGGAGUGUGAUGUCAAGGAGAAGGAUGAUGAACCCUCUAGAACUACUCUUUUUUUUCUUUCUUUUUUUUGCACCAGAAAUAGGCAUGAAGUAGUCUAGAGUAGCUAUAAUGUAGAGAUCCCCUUUCCAACAUUGAACGUCCAAAACAACUCUGAUCAUUGCUGGACCACCUCAUCAUUCAUUGGUGAAUAUAUGCUCUCCCACACUGCACGCUUCUACCACGUGCAGUUCUUCACCUUGAAAAUCGUCUCACCCUAGUAGUUUUUCUUUUUUUUUUUUUUUUUUUUUUUGAGAGAGAUAGGUAGCACGCUACCCGCUUCGUUUAUUUUAUUUUAGAAAAUAAACUUAGCUGAAAAUGUGAAUCAACUAGGAUUCGAACUUGGGCCUCAGGUACCAACCACCAAGCCCUUUGCCACUUGCUCUAGGGACGGUCGGUCACCCUAGUAGUUUUUCGUCUUUCGAUCCCAGUCUGUACCAAUGGCAACGAUUUGAGAGACCAAAAGCUUAGUACUUUGGCUCCACACUAUUUAGGACUUCAUUUCGAGUGAUGUAACUAUGUAGUAGUCCUUUGUUGCUAAGCUUCGAUGUAGAUCUAGUGGCCGAACAUUAGGGAUGCAAACGGGGCGGAUCUGCAGGGGUAGGAGCCCCGCCAUACCUCCCGCCCCGACUACCAAAAUCAUGCCCCGUCUCCUACCCUGAAUUCGUGAUGGGUUUAAAAAUAUAUCUCAUAAUCCGUCCCACCUCAUAACCCACCUCUCGCCGGCACCCCGAAUCCGUUCCGCCAAUUAAUAUUUUUUUUAAAAAAUAUAAUAUUAUUAAUAUUUUGUAAAAUAUAAAUUAAUAACUUUUAAUAAUAAUUAGUGUAGUAACCAGCGCGAUGCAGCGGAAAAAAAUAUUUUAAUAAAAAUUUACAAAUUAAAUAAAUAAAUAUGAAUGUAAAGAAGAAAAAAAAUAUAACUAUAUUUGAUUAGACUUAAUAAUAUAAAAAACACAUUAAAAAAUAUUUAAAAUGGAAUCACAACUCAACAAAAAAUAAUAAAAGAAACCGAAGAAAAAGUAAGAAUUAUAUAAAAAGAAAAAUUAUUACAUAGAUAUUAUAAAAAAAAUGUUUGAAAUAUUGCAAGUGAAAGAUAAUAAAUAUUAAAGAGCAUACUGAAAAGAUUUUAAUUGACAUUUAACAAAUCAAAUAAGCAGAUUCAUCCGUCCGAUUCUUUUUUUGACGCAAAUCAAAUUUUUUUAAAAAAUCAAUAAUAAAGUAACCCGAGCAUUAUAUAUAUAUAUCAUGCACGACAUCGACGCUAUAUUUUAAUUAUUGUAUAAUACACUAUGAUAUAUAAUAAUCUAAUAUUAUCUUUUUUUUUCUUUUUCUUUUUUUGAGAGAUAGAUAGCACGCUAUCCGCUUCGUUUAUUUCAUUUAGAAAUAAACUUAGCUAGAAAUGUGAAUCAAUUAGGAUUCGAACUUGGGUCUCGGGUACCAACCACCAAGUCUUUUGCCACUUGCUCUAGGGACGGUUGGUAUAAUCUAAUAUUAUCAGUGUCACAUUAGUGUCGGCUUGUAUUUAAGAGGAAAAAUAUAGAAACCAAUAAUAAAACCAACAAUAAAAACCCCCUUGAAUAAGCUUCUCAGGAGAAAAAAUCCCCAUAAUAAUAUUGGAAAAAAUAUUCUAAAUAUUCAAGACAAAAAAGAAUCAUCUCUCUGAAACAAAAUGAAACUUUUCAAGAAGUUAGAAUGAAUUAAAAAAAACAUAAAAUGUGCCAAAAAUAAUAAAAAAAAAACACCCAAAAAUGCUUUCCUAAGCUCCAAGCGAACAACAAAUUAAAUGUAAAAAACGAAAAAAGAAAUUACUGCUAGCAGUAGAGCUAUAAGGAAUCGAA
rnacentral:lncRNA from 1 species